rnacentral:rRNA from 1 species
CAGCUUGUUGGUGAGGUAAUGGCUCACCAAGGCGACGACGGGUAGCCGGCCUGAGAGGGUGACCGGCCACACUGGGACUGAGACACGGCCCAGACUCCUACGGGAGGCAGCAGUGGGGAAUAUUGCACAAUGGGCGAAAGCCUGAUGCAGCAACGCCGCGUGGGGGAUGACGGCCUUCGGGUUGUAAACCUCUUUUAGUAGGGAAGAAGGACUUCGGUUUGACGGUACCUGCAGAAAAAGCACCGGCUAACUACGUGCCAGCAGCCGCGGUAAUACGUAGGGUGCAAGCGUUGUCCGGAAUUAUUGGGCGUAAAGAGCUCGUAGGCGGUUUGUCGCGUCUGCUGUGAAAACCCGAGGCUCAACCUCGGGCCUGCAGUGGGUACGGGCAGACUAGAGUGCGGUAGGGGAGAAUGGAAUUCCUGGUGUAGCGGUGGAAUGCGCAGAUAUCAGGAGGAACACCGAUGGCGAAGGCAGUUCUCUGGGCCGUUACUGACGCUGAGGAGCGAAAGCGUGGGGAGCGAACAGGAUUAGAUACCCUGGUAGUCCACGCCGUAAACGUUGGGAACUAGAUGUGGGGACCUUUCCACGGUCUCCGUGUCGCAGCUAACGCAUUAAGUUCCCCGCCUG